AAAACUUUCAACAACGGAUCUCUUGGUUCUCGCAUCGAUGAAGAACGCAGCGAAACGCGAUAUGUAAUGUGAAUUGCAGAAUUUUGUGAAUCAUCGAAUCUUUGAACGCACAUUGCGCCCUCUGGUAUUCCGGAGGGCAUAUCUGUUUGAGCGUCAUUUCUUUCUC
rnacentral:rRNA from 1 species